AGAGAACUGACAGAUCCCUUAAUUUUGGUUCCACAGAAUCAUCCUGAUGUUGCAAGCAAAUUGGCUACUUGUCCCUUCAAUGCUCGCCACCAGGUUCCUCGAGCUGAAAUUAGUCAUCAUAUCUCAAGCUGUGAUGACAGAAGUUGUAUUGAGCAAGAUGUUGUCAACCAAACCAGGAGCCUUAGACAAGAGACUCUGGCUGAGAGCACUUGGCAGUGCCCUCCUUGCGAUGAAGACUGGGAUAAAGAUUUGUGGGAGCAGACCAGCACCCCAUUUGUCUGGGGCACAACUCACUACUCUGACAACAACAGCCCUGCAAGCAACAUAGUUACAGAACAUAAGAAUAACCUGGCUUCAGGCAUGCGAGUUCCCAAAUCUCUGCCGUAUGUUCUGCCAUGGAAAAACAAUGGAAAUGCACAGUAACUGAAUACCUAUCUCAUCAAAUGCCAGACCCUAGA
rnacentral:sRNA from 1 species